rnacentral:rRNA from 1 species
UACGUAGGCAGCAAGCGUUGUUCGGAGUUACUGGGCGUAAAGCGCACGCAGGCGGUCUGCUAAGUUUGGAGUGACAGUUGGUGGCUUAACUGCCAAAGUGCUUCGAAAACUGACAGACUUGAGGGCUUCAGAGGGACACGGAAUUCCGGGUGGAGUGGUGAAAUGCGUAGAGAUCCGGAGGAACACCAAAGGCGAAGGCAGUGUCCUGGGGAGUACCUGACGCUCAGGUGCGAAAGCCAGGGGAGCGAACGGG